UACGUAGGGUGCAAGCGUUGUCCGGAAUUAUUGGGCGUAAAGAGCUCGUAGGCGGUUUGUUGCGUCGGCUGUGAAAUCCCGAGGCUCAACUUCGGGUCUGCAGUCGAUACGAGCAAACUAGAGUGUUGCAGGGGAGACUGGAAUUCCUGGUGUAGCGGUGAAAUGCGCAGAUAUCAGGAGGAACACCGGUGGCGAAGGCGGGUCUCUGGGCAACAACUGACGCUGAGGAGCGAAAGCGUGGGGAGCGAACAGG
rnacentral:rRNA from 1 species